UAGGGAAUCUUCCACAAUGGACGCAAGUCUGAUGGAGCAACGCCGCGUGAGUGAAGAAGGUUUUCGGAUCGUAAAGCUCUGUUGUUGGUGAAGAAGGAUAGAGGCAGUAACUGGUCUUUAUUUGACGGUAAUCAACCAGAAAGUCACGGCUAACUACGUGCCAGCAGCCGCGGUAAUACGUAGGUGGCAAGCGUUGUCCGGAUUUAUUGGGCGUAAAGCGAGCGCAGGCGGAAUGAUAAGUCUGAUGUGAAAGCCCACGGCUCAACCGUGGGACUGGAUCGGGAACUGUCAUUCUUGAGUGCAGAAGAGGAGAGUGGAAUUCCAUGUGUAGCGGUGGAAUGCGUAGAUAUAUGGAAGAACACCAGUGGCGAAGGCGGCUCUCUGGGCUGCAACUGACGCUGAGGCUCGAAAGCAUGGGUAGCGAACAGG
rnacentral:rRNA from 1 species